GGUUAAUGUAUUAUUUUACCUAAGACAGUAGGAGUUAGUGAUAACUUAAAAAUAUAUCCUGCCGAGGCUAAAAUUGACUUGAACGUGAAGAAUUUAGAUCUUUCAAGCACUUUUUGCCACGGGUAGAAAGUGCUUUUUUUAUUGAGUA
rfam:Staphylococcus sp. NAM3COL9 strain NA309 scaffold000008, whole genome shotgun sequence.